GCCAUUAAUUGGACGAAGAGGAAGAAGAAGACUGCACAUGCGUAUUUACUUGCUUCAGAUAGCAGGUUCGUUAAUUUGCACAUGGCUGGAUAAGAGCAUGAUGAGUUAUCGGCAAAGAAUCGAUUCAAACUAAUCGAGAUCAAUUUUCUACCCAAUAUGCCUUCUGGUGAAAAUGAAAGCAGCAUGGAAUCAAAACGAUUAGAAAUUGUGGAGGAAAUGAAGAAACAACAUCCAAGUUCUAUACUGCUAGCACAGUACAUGGACAUAACUUUUUCGCUAAGAAGAAAAGAGUAGGUUGAAAAGGAGCCUUCAGUAAAAGAGACUUUACAAAGAUGGCCAGCACUCUAAAGGGAAAGUCAGAUUAUUGCUGAGUUCAACCAGAUCACAAGCAAAAACCUCAAGCAAGAAUUCUUCUCAGCCCUUGAUAAACAUACUUCUCGUUUUCUGGAAGUUUUCGAAUCAAAGAAAGGCACAGCAGGAAAAAAGCUCUCAGAGUAUCUAAUGCAAAUGAAGUCUGCAAACAUCACUGAUGUCACUGCUCGACGGACAGCAGUUCUCUGUGGUCUUGCUGUCCUUCUUGGGGAAGACACUACAGACUUCAAAACAUGCUGACAUUGAUAUUGAUGCACCUCAAGUAUCGAUAGGAAUUCUCACUGUGGUGCCAGAGGACAGCCUGAUGUCUCCACAAGGUUUGCCAUUGGAGGUCACUGAUACAGCAAUAAUUUUGGAGGGUGUUAUAACAAUGGAUGGACUUGUGAAUGUUCCACAUUCCAUUUGAUUUGUUUUUGGGCUGAUCUAUGCUUUAAAUAUGGAGUACCCUUCACAGCUUAAGAAUUUGUUCAUUAUGUUUUUAAUAGCAGAAACAAGCCUAUCUUAGUUCUAUUGUUGCAUUUUGGGUGUUGUAUCCAGAUUGAUGGGUGACUGAUUAAAAAUCUCAAUACAACUUAA